GGCUUUCUUCUUGGCAGUGUUAUGACUCAACAAUUGAAGUGAGCAAUAUGAUCCUACAUGAAAUAAGUAGCUAAGGCAUUAAUGUAGAUCAGGUGUGAUGCAUUAUAAU